UUUGGUAAAGACAGUUGUUGAAAUUUUGUUUUAAAUUAAUUAUGACAAGUUAAGCUCACCCAUGAAUGCAUAGGUUUUACUUUCUUAUUAGAACCUCACCCAUUGCAUUGCCUUUCGCUAAAGCAACCCAUUGUCUAGCAAUAAAAUCAGAUUUCAUAUCAGACCUCUACACAUCCAACAACCUCAUAACAACCUACGUAAAAUGCAAGGAACUUAAUCUUGCUCACCAACUGUUCGACGAAAUGCCUCAACCAUAUGGUAUAUUUUUAUUUGUGGUUUAUGAUAGAGAAGGUAUAUUUUUAUUUGAAUAUUAAUUCAGUAUGGUUAUGUGUCCCUAUACGUUGCACAUGAAUAAAAAAACACAUGAAGUAGCCAUCACUAUUGGCUUCUAGUUUGGAGCUUGUGUAUUAGAUAACCUUGUUAAAUUCUGAAGCACAUAAUUGACAGUGGAUGCUUUGUCUAGAUUGGCACAUAGACACCAAUAAUAAAUUGAGAAAAUAGAAGCGGUUGAGUCUAACCACUUAUGUCAAUGUCAUGAGUGUUGGAGAUGCCUUCACUCUAAAGUGUUGGACAAAGCUUAAAUGUGGUAUUUGGCAUUAGCUGAAUAUUUGUUUUCCUUUUCCUCUCAAGACUGUUCAAAAUUCUCAAGUUCAUAUGCAUGUAGCCAGUUUCGUUAGUCAAGGAUUUUGAAUAUAAUGCUUUUGUGAUUAGAAAUGAUUAAUGAUAGACAUAAUUGUGUGGUUUAAUAAUUGUUUACAACUCCAUUUAGUGAGAAGAAACUUCGUUGGUUUGUUAAUUUAUAUCUUGUAUAGUUUUGUUGACUUUAUCGUCUUGAAGUUUUGGAAUUCAUUUCUGGUGUUGAAAAGGAGUUGUAAGCCUGUAAUCAUGGAUGUUAUUUGGAAACGUGUGUAUUUGGUGCAACUGUAUUAUGGUUAUAAGAGGUGCAAAUUUCUUGUUGGCCGACUUUGUAAAAAUCAAGGAACAUAAGCCAAGAGAACAGAGAUUCAAGGCCAACGAGAACAAGCCUGCUAUGACAGAGUGAUGACAGCUUUGGCUGGUGCUACGGAAAUAGCAUGAAAUAACAUGGCAUUUUUAUUUAUUUUACUGGUGCUACGGAAGUUGACAUUUUGCUUUGAUUUAUAGGCUUUCAUUUUGGUUAGGUUAAGAUUUUGAAGAAUCGUGUUAUUCCUAUUAGUAUCUUUUUGUAAAUUUGUUUUCUAUUUCGGAUUUUUGCUUUUAUUUGGUGCAGUGUAGUUUAGUUCUUUUUGUAACUUAUUUAACAUAUGUAUUGGUUAUUGCUAUUGUAUUGAUUUUGGAUUAGAUGAACACUGAAUAUACUAGUGUAUAUCGAGACA